AUUGAACGCUGGCGGCAUGCCUUACACAUGCAAGUCGAACGGCAGCACGGGAGCAAUCCUGGUGGCGAGUGGCGAACGGGUGAGUAAUAUAUCGGAACGUGCCCAGUCGUGGGGGAUAACGUAGCGAAAGCUACGCUAAUACCGCAUACGAUCUACGGAUGAAAGGCGGGGGAUCGCAAGACCUCGCGCGAUUGGAGCGGCCGAUAUCAGAUUAGGUAGUUGGUGAAGUAAAGGCUCACCAAGCCGACGAUCUGUAGCUGGUCUGAGAGGACGACCAGCCACACUGGGACUGAGACACGGCCCAGACUCCUACGGGAGGCAGUAGUGGGGAAUUUUGGACAAGUGGGCGGCAAGCCUGGAUCCAGCAAUGCCGCGUGC
rnacentral:rRNA from 1 species